AAAAAAAUAUUUCAAUAAUACUUCACAUGGUACCACUUUUGAUUGUAUAUGCUCCGUCGUUAAUAAUCCGUGAUCAGAUUUUCAAUUUGCAUGCAAACACAGACUUUACAUUGGUUUAUGGUUACUGCAAAUUAAUAUAUAAUAAUGAUAGUUAUCCAUAUUCCUCCACCUAGUAGCUGUGUUUAUGAAUGAUACUGUUUUAAUGAAUUGACUAUUAAAUACGA